rfam:Aureobasidium pullulans var. pullulans EXF-150 unplaced genomic scaffold scaffold_3, whole genome shotgun sequence.
UCGUGUGAUGAAGCGGCACUGGGCUCCGACUACAAACCAAAUGAGCAAGAUAUGCCAACGCUGUGACAGGCCUAGAAAACCUCGUCCACUGACU